rnacentral:rRNA from 1 species
GAGUUGAUCAUGGCUCAGAACGAACGCUGGCGGCAUGCCUAACACAUGCAAGUCGAAACGCCCCGCAAGGGGAGUGGCGGACGGGUGAGUAACGCGUGGGAACCUGCCCAAUGGUUCGGAAUAACCGCGGGAAACUGCGGCUAAUACCGAAUAAGCCCGAGAGGGGAAAGAUUAUCGCCGAUGGAGGGGCCCGCGUCCGAUUAGGUAGUUGGUGAGGUAACGGCUCACCAAGCCUUCGAUCGGUAGCUGGUCUGAGAGGAUGAUCAGCCACACUGGGACUGAGAUACGGCCCAGACUCCUACGGCUGGCAGCAGUGGGGAAUAUUGGACAAUGGGGGCAACCCUGAUCCAGCAAUGCCGCGUGAGUGAUGAAGGCCUUAGGGUUGUAAAGCUCUUUUGCCGGGGACGAUGAUGACGGUACCCGGAGAAUAAGCCCCGGCUAACUUCGUGCCAGCAGCCGCGGUAAUACGAAGGGGGCGAGCGUUGUUCGGAAUUACUGGGCGUAAAGGGCGCGUAGGCGGCGACCCAAGUCAGAUGUGAAAGUCCUGGGCUUAACCUGGGGAUUGCAUUUGAUACUGGGUUGCUUGAAUGCAGGAGAGGAUAGCGGAAUUCCCAGUGUAGAGGUGAAAUUCGUAGAUAUUGGGAAGAACACCGGUGGCGAAGGCGGCUAUCUGGACUGUGAUUGACGCUGAGGCGCGAAAGCGUGGGGAGCAAACAGGAUUAGAUAACCCUGGUAGUUCCACGCCGUAAACGAUGAGUGCUAGACGCUGGGGAGCAUGCUCUUNCGGUGUCGCAGCUAACGCAUUAAGCA